rnacentral:rRNA from 1 species
UACGUAGGGUGUGAGCGUUGUCCGGAAUUAUUGGGCGUAAAGAGCUUGUAGGCGGUUUGUCGCGUCUGCUGUGAAAAUCCGGGGCUCAACCCCGGACUUGCAGUGGGUACGGGCAGACUAGAGUGUGGUAGGGGAGACUGGAAUUCCUGGUGUAGCGGUGGAAUGCGCAAAUAUCAGGAGGAACACCGAUGGCGAAGGCAGGUCUCUGGGCCAUUACUGACGCUGAGAAGCGAAAGCAUGGGGAGCGAACAGG